rnacentral:rRNA from 1 species
UACGUAGGUGGCAAGCGUUGUCCGGAAUCAUUGGGCGUAAAGGGCGCGUAGGUGGCGCGGUAAGCGUGCGGUGAAAGCCUGGGGCUCAACCCCGGGUCGGCCGUGCGAACUGCUGGGCUUGAGCACUGUAGAGGCAGGCGGAAUUCCGGGUGUAGCGGUGGAAUGCGUAGAGAUCCGGAAGAACACCGGUGGCGAAGGCGGUCUGCUGGGCAGUUGCUGACACUGAUGCGCGACAGCGUGGGGAGCAAACAGG